rnacentral:rRNA from 1 species
CAUGCAAGUCGAGCGGUAACAGACAUAAAGAUUCAGCUUGCUGAAUCCGGUGCUGACGAGCGGCGAACGGGUGAGUAACGCGUAGGAAUCUACCCAGUAGCGGGGGAUAGCCCGAGGAAACUCGGAUUAAUACCGCAUACGCCCUGAGGGGGAAAGGGGGCAGUUUACUGCUCUCACUAUUGGAUGAGCCUGCGUAAGAUUAGCUUGUUGGUGGGGUAAUGGCCUACCAAGGCUACGAUCUUUAGCUGGUCUGAGAGGACGAUCAGCCACAUUGGGACUGAGACACGGCCCAGACAUCUACGGAUGGCAGCAGUUAAGAAUAUUGGACAAUGGGGGCAACCCUGAUCCAGGUAUACCGCGUGUGUGAAGAAGGCCCUAGGGUUGUAAAGCACUUUAAUCAGAGAAGAAGCAGUUUAAGUUAAUACCUUAAUCUGUUGACGUUACCUGAAGAAUAAGGACCGGCUAACUCCGUGCCAGCAGCCGCGGUAAUACGGAGGGUCCAAGCGUUAAUCGGAAUUACUGGGCGUAAAGCGCGCGUAGGCGGUUUAGCAAGUUGCAUGUGAAAGCCCUGGGCUCAACCUAGGAACUGCAUUCAAAACUACUAAGCUAGAGUACGAGAGAGGAGAGUAGAAUUUCUGGUGUAGCGGUGAAAUGCGUAGAUAUCAGAAGGAAUACCAAUGGCGAAGGCAGCUCUCUGGCUCGUCACUGACGCUGAGGUGCGAAAGCGUGGGUAGCAAACAGGAUUAGAUACCCUGGUAGUCCACGCCGUAAACGAUGAGAACUAGCCGUUGGGCAGAUUUAACUGUUCAGUGGCACAGCUAACGCAUUAAGUUCUCCGCCUGGGGAG